AAAAAAGGAAAUACACCAACAGGUUGAGGAUCUUAAAUAUUGAUAUUGAAUCGUUCUCCAUUUGCCUUUCAUUUGUUUUUGUUUUUUGUAUUUUAUCAUCAUUGGUGU
rnacentral:ribozyme from 13 species